AUCAUCUCUAAAAUCCCACCAGACCAGAUAUAAAGCCAACUUUGUCUGCCAAGCUCCCAUUCCAAAGAAGAAAGCAAAUUCCUUAGAGAAAGGAAGUUCUUCCUCUGAAUUCUGAUGAUCCAGAUAGAAAGCAAAGUCCACUAUGGCAAAGUUGCAAUGUUCAGUUGGGGGUGUCUGCCUCGACUAAAUUGAGUCAGCAACAUUUCAAAUGGAAAACUACAGCCAAUCAUCUUGAUAUGCUCAUAUACUGCUGCCUCCCACAUGAAUUUAGGGAUUGUGAUGUGGGAGGCACAAUCAUAGCCUCUCUGUCAAGAGACCAUGAAUAAAUAGCAUGUGACCUACAUCAUAAUGAACGCUAGAGAUGAACCAACCUCUUUCUAAGAGGCCACAUUCCCUUGGUGGAGGGCUUUCAGGAAAAUAAAACAUGCACACAGGGCUAACUUGCCCUCCUGUGCAGGAAGUAAUACCUCAAAAGGAAUGAAGCCUGAAGAAAAUCUACAGAGACAUUCACAGGGCUUUGGUCACUCAGCAAUAAUCAAGGUCAUUACCAAGCAUGCAGUGGGUGUCAAGUGGAUCACAUCAUAUUUAUUACAGUACAACUAGGAGUCAUCCAAGUCCAGUGGCAGGACAAAAGCCCAAAAGACUGGCAGUGGCCCAAGAUGCUGCAGAUGAUCUUGGCUCUAGGCUCCAUACUGCCUACUUCAGCUGCCUUCAUGGCUGAUGGAACAAAUUGUCCUCAUUUUCCCAUUCCAGAUAGGGGAAAUCUUCAAAUUGGGAUGAGGACACCAAGGUUCCUGGUGAAGUUGGGAGAACUAUGGAUCUGCCUUCAAAGGAUCUUGGUUCAAAUCUUGGCUCUGAUGUAUAUUACCUAUGUGAUCUUGGAUAAAUAAUAGAACCUUCCCUGA